rnacentral:rRNA from 1 species
AGCGAACGCUGGCGGCAGGCCUAACACAUGCAAGUCGAACGAACCUUUCGGGGUUAGUGGCGGACGGGUGAGUAACACGUGGGAACGUGCCUUUAGGUUCGGAAUAACUCAGGGAAACUUGUGCUAAUACCGAAUGUGCCCUUCGGGGGAAAGAUUUAUCGCCUUUAGAGCGGCCGGCGUCUGAUUAGCUAGUUGGUUGAGGUAAUGGCUCACCAGGGCGACGAUCAGUAGCUGGUCUGAGAGGAUGAUCAGCCACAUUGGGACUGAGACACGGCCCAAACUCCUACGGGAGGCAGCAGUGGGGAAUCUUGCGCAAUGGGCGAAAGCCUGACGCAGCCAUGCCGCGUGAAUGAUGAAGGUCUUAGGAUUGUAAAAUUCUUUCACCGGGGACGAUAAUGACGGUACCCGGAGAAGAAGCCCCGGCUAACUUCGUG